rnacentral:rRNA from 1 species
UACAGAGGGGGCCAGCGUUAUUCGGAAUUAUUGGGCGUAAAGAGCUCGUAGGCGGUGUGUCGCGUCGGCCGUGAAAACCUGCAGCUUAACUGUGGGCUUGCGGUCGAUACGGGCAUCACUGGAGUUCGGCAGGGGAGACUGGAAUUCCUGGUGUAGCGGUGAAAUGCGCAGAUAUCAGGAGGAACACCGGUGGCGAAGGCGGGUCUCUGGGCCGAUACUGACGCUGAGAAGCGAAAGCAUGGGGAGCGAACAGG